GACGAACGCUGGCGGCGUGCUUAACACAUGCAAGUCGAACGGAAAGGCUCGGCCUUUGUGGAGUACUCGAGUGGCGAACGGGUGAGUAACACGUGGGUAAUCUGCCCUUCACUCUGGGAUAAGCCUGGGAAACUGGGUCUCAUACUGGAUAUGACCUUUUUCCUCAUGUGGUUUGUUGGAAAGUUUCGCGGUUUUGGUUUGGUCUGCGGGCUUUCAGCCUGUUUGUGGGGUUAUGGCCUACCAAGGCGUCGAAGGGUAGCCGGCCUGAGAGGGUGGUCGGGCACAAGGGGACUGAGAUACGGCGCAGACUCGUACGGGAGGCAGCAGUGGGGAAUAUGGCACAAUGGGCGGAAGCCUGAGGCAGAGACGCCGCGUGAGGGAUGACGGCUUUCGGGGGGUAAACAUCUUUGAAAGGAGACGAAGAGUAAGUGACGGUACCUGAAGAAGAAGCACCGGCUAACUAAGUG
rnacentral:rRNA from 1 species